rnacentral:rRNA from 1 species
UGGGGAAUAUUGCACAAUGGGCGCAAGCCUGAUGCAGCCAUGCCGCGUGUAUGAAGAAGGCCUUCGGGUUGUAAAGUACUUUCAGCGGGGAGGAAGGUGUUGAGGUUAAUAACCUCAGCAAUUGACGUUACCCGCAGAAGAAGCACCGGCUAACUCCGUGCCAGCAGCCGCGGUAAUACGGAGGGUGCAAGCGUUAAUCGGAAUUACUGGGCGUAAAGCGCACGCAGGCGGUCUGUCAAGUCGGAUGUGAAAUCCCCGGGCUCAACCUGGGAACUGCAUUGGAAACUGGCAGGCUAGAGUCUUGUAGAGGGGGGUAGAAUUCCAGGUGUAGCGGUGAAAUGCGUAGAGAUCUGGAGGAAUACCGGUGGCGAAGGCGGCCCCCUGGACAAAGACUGACGCUCAGGUGCGAAAGCGUGGGGAGCAAACA